UAUUAUUAGUAUUAUUAAGUAUUAUUAUUGUUGGCGUUGAAACGUUUGACCUCGUCAGAUGAGGUUUUAAAAAUUCCUGUAACGUCUGCAUUGUAACCUUUUACUGUGUUGGUAAAACUACGCCCAGCUCCACGUACAUUCCCUUUUAUUUUCAUACCAGAAUUAUAGUUUUCUUUUGUGAACUAAAACCCGUCGAGAGCCGGCGUUUCCCCGCGCGCGCAGGGGCAGCUGUUCCUCCUCCUCCCCGCCGGUGAAAAGCAGCUCCCUACCGGCUGCUGCCGCUGUUGCGGCCGCUGUCGGGAGCCCUGCCUCCCCUCCCGCAGCACUCGGCUGCCCGGGAGUGCGGCUUCGAUCUGAGCGCGAGGGGCAGGUCGUCUACAUCGGUGGGCGAGGAGAUGCACGCGUCCACCAAACCUUAAAACUAAUAAUACGCGGAGGCGGCACAGUAUUGACAGUCUGGGCACUGAAAUCAAUUUAAAAAAAAUAAAACUUAAAAAAAAAAAUUAAGGCAAUACACAAGACAUUUAAGACACUGCUUUCGCUACGUUGUAAAAAAAAAAAGUUUAAUUAUUUUUUUUAAUUUUGCAUUGUCGUUUUUGCGGAUUUCCUCUUAACUGCGCCCUUUGGCCAGGAUUGUGCUAAAAUGCUGAAACUCUAUACGCCGAUGCUGAGUGGAUUGUUCACUACUCGGCCCUAUUUAAACUCGCUUUACUCAGUCCCCGUGUGAAAACCUCAAACAGAGGCGGACGUGUGGAUCAAAGUGAGCUAAGUGAGUAGAACUUUGUGGUUAAAGGUUGAAGUCUCCGGUGACUUAUUGCCAAAUUCUGCGGGCUCGCCCCCCCUUCCUCUGGAGCUCCGCAGGUCGAAUGUCUGUUUUUGUUUGUUAAUGCGUGUCUCCGUCUCAACGAGGCUUGCGGUGGUCCAUGCUGGUGGUUGAGAAUAGUUUGUAUUUGACACUUGAAUCAGUCCAGGGACUCGACUGAUGGAGCUCUUCUCUUCAGCCUCUGUCUGUUCUGUUUACCAUAAUGUUGUGACUGAGACCGCCCGUCUGCCAGGUUCUCCCAUCUCUCCACAGGAACCCCUUUACAAAGUGCUCUUUAGAGUGGAUGAACAAGCCGCAAAUGGAACCCGAGAAGAAAAAAAGCAGAGGAGUAAGAGGAGAAGAGGCAGAGGAGAGACGGUGGUGGUGGAGGAGGAGGAGGAGGAGGAGGGGAGGGAGGAAAUCAAUUCUCCCAGAGAGAGACAGGCUGGUCUAAUGGAGGUCUAAAAGAAGAAGAAGAGGAGGAGAGGACGUAUUUUCUUCUGAUUACCUCCUGUAGCCUUCCUGGCAAACCUUCAAAGCAGCAGCGGCCUCGCGCAGCUAACCUUUUUGGCUAAAGUCUGAAAGUACAGAGUCUGCUUGCUUGGUUCUGCCUGCAGUCGGCUUUGAGGCGGACCAGACACCGGAACACACACGAACACGCGCAGAAUUACAGAUUGGAAUAUAAGGUGCCCUGACCUAAAGAGAAACUCAUUUGGUCUUUAGUUAAAAUUCCAUUCAAAGCCACAUCUAAGGCAAUUUCUCCGUUUUCAGUCAUUAUGCUGCCGUUUAUGAGCAGUUAUGCAACCUGCUGUUACAUCGCAGAGAGAAAAUGAGCUGAAUUAAACGGAUAAAGGUU